rnacentral:rRNA from 1 species
GACGGAAGGUGCAAGCGUUGCUCGGAAUCACUGGGCGUAAAGGGUGCGUAGGCGGCUUGGUAAGUUGGGUGUGAAAGCCCCGGGCUCAGCCCGGGAAGGGCACUCGAAACUGCCGAGCUGGAGUGCCGGAGGGGAGAGUGGAAUUCCUGGUGUAGCGGUGAAAUGCGUAGAUAUCAGGAGGAAUACCCAUAGCGAAGGCAGCUCGCUGGGACGUUACUGACGCUGAGGCGCGAAAGCGUGGGGAGCGAACAGG